UCCUCCGUGGCGCAAUUGGCUAGCGCGUCCGACUGUUAACUACUGGAGACGGUAAUUUGUAAUCGGGAGGUUCGUGGUUCGAGCCCACGCGGGGGAG